UCUUCAACUAAAGGGGUAAGUUAAUACUGAAUAUUGCUGGUAUUCUUCAUUCUUCAAUUUCAAGAAAAUGGGUUUUGGUGAUUGUAUUGAUUUUUUUCUGUUUUUUUUUGUUAUGAUGGAGCCAAAGUUUUUGAGGAACCGUUUGAACAUAAUUUGGUGCUUGUUACUUUUUGGAGUUAAGUAAUACAAAAGAGAGUGCAUUGUUGCACACAGAACAGAAAUGGGUAAGAAGGGUACCAUGGAAGUGCAGGAAUUUCAGGACUUGUUACAGCUACCUACAAUACUUGGUGAUGGACACUUGAGGAUUAGGGCAGGUUCUCGGUUGCUAGUCUGUAGGUUUUCUCACAGGUUUGCUUGUUCGCGUGGACAGUCUUAAAAGGGAUGCUUCAAAAC
rnacentral:lncRNA from 1 species